UACGUAGGUGGCAAGCGUUAUCCGGAAUUAUUGGGCGUAAAGAGCUCGUAGGCGGUGUGUCGCGUCGGCCGUGAAAACCUGGGGCUCAACUCUGGGCGUGCGGUCGAUACGGGCAUCACUUGAGUUCGGCAGGGGAGACUGGAAUUCCUGGUGUAGCGGUGAAAUGCGCAGAUAUCAGGAGGAACACUGGUGGCGAAGGCGGGUCUCUGGGCCGAUACUGACGCUGAGGAGCGAAAGCAUGGGUAGCGAACAGG
rnacentral:rRNA from 1 species